GGGACAUGCCUGGAACACCUCCCGAGGAAGCCAUCCAGGAGGAAUCCGAGAUGGACUGGCGACCUGUCCAGGGUGUACCUGCCCAAUGAAUGUUGGAGGUAGGCACCUGCCCCACAUGAACGGGCAAGAAUAAGCAGGAAACCCUGGAGAGGACACUGAAACACCCUGGAGAGGAC